rnacentral:lncRNA from 1 species
CAGGGGAUUGAGCAAAGAAGGGCGGAGAGACGGGAGGAAAAGGGAGGAGCGAGGAAGGAAAAUAAAACUCUAACUUGUGGGCUCCAUGUGCUAGGGAUGUAUUGGAGAUUGAUUUUUGGUAGCAUGCUGCAGCGGUGAUCGCUAAAAAUGCAAAAGUAAUUAUUGGAGAGGGAGAGAGAAACUAUUUUUAGUAGUGGGAUAUAAGCAAUCUGCUGGAGAUGCUCUAAGAUGUCGAUUGGGUGUGACAUCUACUUUGAUAGGCAUUAGCUGGGCGUG